rnacentral:rRNA from 1 species
UGCCAGCCGCCGCGGUAAGACGGAGGGUCCUAGCGUUGUUCGGAAUGACUGGGCGUAAAGGGUACGUAGGCGGUUUGGUCAGUUAGAUGUGAAAGCCCAGGGCUCAACCUUGGAACUGCAUUUAAUACUGCCAGACUUGAGAUCGGAAGAGGAAAGCGGAAUUCCGAGUGUAGGAGUGAAAUCCGUAGAUAUUCGGAGGAACACCGGUGGCGAAGGCGGCUUCCUGGACCGAUACUGACGCUGAGACGCGAAAGCGUGGGGAGCGAACAGGAUUAGAUA